rnacentral:snoRNA from 1 species
GAAAAAGCAGGGGCCUGUUUCCUGUCAAUGAGCGGGUCUCUCGUAAGAGUCAGGGAAAUGGAACCCCAUUGUUCUUGGGUGAACCUCUGCCUGUAUUGCCUGUGCCCGGAGGUUCAGUAAAUGAUGGCACAUUC